GAUGAACGCUAGCUACAGGCUUAACACAUGCAAGUCGAGGGGAAACGACAUCGAAAGCUUGCUUUUGAUGGGCGUCGACCGGCGCACGGGUGAGUAACGCGUAUCCAACCUGCCCAUCACUUGGGAAUAACCUUGCGAAAGUAAGACUAAUACCCAAUGACAUCCCACGAAGACAUCUGAAUGGGAUUAAAGAUUUAUCGGUGAUGGAUGGGGAUGCGUCUGAUUAGCUUGUUGGCGGGGUAACGGCCCACCAAGGCAACGAUCAGUAGGGGUUCUGAGAGGAAGGUCCCCCACAUUGGAACUGAGGCACGGUCCAAACUCCUACGGGAGGCAGCAGUGAGGAAUAUUGGUCAAUGGGCGAGAGCCUGAACCAGCCAAGUAGCGUGCAGGAUGACGGCCCUAUGGGUUGUAAACUGCUUUUAUAAGGGAAUAAAGUGGGUCUCGGGAGACUUUUUGCAUGUACCUUAUGAAUAAGGACCGGCUAAUUCCGUG
rnacentral:rRNA from 1 species